ACGGGUGAGUAGCGCGUGGGAACCUGCCUUGGAGUGGGGGAUAACCGAGGGAAACUUCGGCUAAUACCGCAUACGCCCCGGCGCGAGCCGGGGGAAAGAUUGAUCGCUCCAAGAGGGGCCCGCGUCGGAUUAGGUAGUUGGUGGGGUAACGGCCUACCAAGCCUGUGAUCCGUAGCUGGUCUGAGAGGAUGAUCAGCCACACUGGGACUGAGACACGGCCCAGACUCCUACGGGAGGCAGCAGUGGGGAAUAUUGGACAAUGGGCGCAAGCCUGAUCCAGCAAUGCCGCGUGAGUGAUGAAGGCCUUAGGGUUGUAAAGCUCUUUCGCCCGCGACGAUGAUGACGGUAGCGGGAGAAGAAGCCCCGGCUAACUUCGUGCCAGCAGCCGCGG
rnacentral:rRNA from 1 species